ACAAGUUUUAUGAUGAAUUUUGUUAUCCCUGUCUGAACUUCGGUGUGGAUUUUUGGUAACCUGAAACUUGU